UGCCAGCCGCCGCGGUAAUACGAAGGGUGCAAGCGUUGUUCGGAUUUAUUGGGCGUAAAGGGCGCGUAGGCGGAUAAUUAAGUUAGGUGUGAAAUCUCGGGGCCUAACCCCGAAACUGCGCCUAAAACUGAUAAUCUAGGAUCUCGGAGAGGGAAGGGGAAUUUCGCAUGUAGGAGUAAAAUCCGUAGAGAUGCGAAGGAACACCAGAGGCGAAGGCGCCUUCCUGGACGAGUAUCGACGCUGAGGCGCGAAAGCGUGGGUAGCAAACAGGAUUAGAUA
rnacentral:rRNA from 1 species